rnacentral:rRNA from 1 species
UACGAAGGGGGCUAGCGUUGCUCGGAAUCAUUGGGCGUAAAGCGCACGUAGGCGGAUUGCUAAGUCAGGGGUGAAAUCCUGGAGCUCAACUCCAGAACUGCCUUUGAUACUGGCGACCUUGAGUCCGGGAGAGGUGAGUGGAACUGCGAGUGUAGAGGUGAAAUUCGUAGAUAUUCGCAAGAACACCAGUGGCGAAGGCGGCUCACUGGCCCGGUACUGACGCUGAGGUGCGAAAGCGUGGGGAGCAAACAGG